AAACCUUGAGACCAUUUGUGCUGCUUUGGCCGAGACUGAACGACGUUGUCAAAAGAGAAUACAAAUUCUUGUCCGACAAUUUUGCCAAAGGGAAAACAAUAGUUGAAAAGAUAGAGAGAACCACCAAGGAACAAACCACAUCCUCCAUCCUCAUACCCGAUUGGCAAGUCGAUCCUGAAGACCUUAAAGGAUCAGUGAUUAGGGAAGUAGGAAGCCUGACCACAGUGCAGUGCUGGCAGGUGACCCAAUCAACUUUGAGGGUGGUGCCUAGUUGUGGGUGCUAAACUGCCACCCUGAACCUACCUGCUGGCCCUGGGCCAGAUAGUUUUGCGGAGGGAUGAGGAGGAGGUUUCCUAAAAUACCAUGGGCAUCUUUUCCAGUGAACCUGUCUUGGACAUAAAUCACAAAACACUGUAGCAAUCUGCCUUGGUCCAACCACAUUGACGCGACGGUCAAGAAAACAGAAGAAUGCCUCUACUUCCCCAGGAGGCUAAGAAAAUUCAGCAUGUCCAUAAAGACUCUUACCAGUUUUUAUUGAUGCACUAUUGAAAGCAUUCUAUCGGGAUGUAUCAUGGCUUGGUAUGGCAACUGCUUUACCCAGGACCAUAACAAACUAUGGAAAGUUGUAAACAGGCCAGUCCACCACUUCCAUCCAUUGACUCCACCUAUACUUCUCACUGCCUCAAGAAAGCAGCCAACAUAAUCAAAGACCCUAUCCUACUCAGUUUAUAAUCUCGUUCAACUUUGUCCAUCAGGCAGAAGAUACAAAAGCUGAAACAUACAUACAAACAGAUUUGAGAACACCUUCUUCCUUGUUGUUAUUAGACUUUGGAAUGGACCUCUCAUAUUUUUUAAUUUAAUGUUAAUCUUGUUCUUUGUGCACCUUCUGUGCAGCUGUAAC